UAAGGAAUUUUGGACAAUGGGCGAAAGCCUGAUCCAGCCAUGCCGCGUGAGUGAAGAAGGCCUUCGGGUUGUAAAGCUCUUUUAGUCGGAAAGAAAGAGUUGCAAUGAAUAAUUGUGAUUUAUGACGGUACCGACAGAAAAAGCACCGGCUAACUACGUGCCAGCAGCCGCGGUAAUACGUAGGGUGCGAGCGUUAAUCGGAAUUACUGGGCGUAAAGGGUGCGCAGGCGGUCUUGCAAGUCAGAUGUGAAAGCCCCGGGCUUAACCUGGGAAUUGCGUUUGAAACUACAAGGCUAGAGUGCAGCAGAGGGGAGUGGAAUUCCAUGUGUAGCAGUGAAAUGCGUAGAGAUGUGGAAGAACACCGAUGGCGAAGGCAGCUCCCUGGGUUGACACUGACGCUCAUGCACGAAAGCGUGGGGAGCAAACA
rnacentral:rRNA from 1 species